rnacentral:rRNA from 1 species
AUUGAACGCUGGCGGCAGGCCUAACACAUGCAAGUCGAACGAGUGGCGGACGGGUGAGUAAUGUCUGGGAAACUGCCUGAUGGAGGGGGAUAACUACUGGAAACGGUAGCUAAUACCGCAUACCCUCGGAUGGUCCCAGAUGGGAGUAGCUAGUAGGUGGGGUAACGGCUCACCUAGGCGAAGAUCCCUAGCUGGUCUGAGAGGAUGACCAGGCACACUGGAACUUAGACACGGUCCAGACGCCUACGGGAGGCAGAAGUGGGGAAUAUUGCACAAUGGGCGAAAGCCUGAUGCAGCCAUGCCGCGUGUAUGAAGAAGGCCUUCGGGUUGUAAAGUACUUUCAGCGAGGAGGCGUUACCCGCAGAAGAAGCACCGGCGAACUCCGUGCCAGCAGCCGCGGUAAUUC